GACGAACGCUGGCGGCGUGCUUAACACAUGCAAGUCGAACGGAAAGGCCCUGCUUUUGUGGGGUGCUCGAGUGGCGAACGGGUGAGUAACACGUGAGUAACCUGCCCUUGUCUUUGGGAUAACUUCAGGAAACUGGGGCUAAUACCGGAUAGGAGCUCCUGCUGCAUGGUGGGGGUUGGAACGUUUCGGCGGUUGGGGAUGGACUCGCGGCUUAUCAGCUUGUUGGUGGGGUAGUGGCUUACCAAGGCUUUGACGGGUAGCCGGCCUGAGAGGGUGACCGGCCACAUUGGGACUGAGAUACGGCCCAGACUCCUACGGGAGGCAGCAGUGGGGAAUAUUGCACAAUGGGCGGAAGCCUGAUGCAGCAACGCCGCGUGCGGGAUGACGGCCUUCGGGUUGUAAACCGAUUUCGCCUGUGACGAAGCGUGAGUGACGGUAAUGGGUAAAGAAGCACCGGCUAACUACGUG
rnacentral:rRNA from 1 species